rnacentral:lncRNA from 1 species
CGAUUGGAGCUGCCAUUAAACAAAUCACGGCCUCAGACCCCUUUGUGAUAGCGGAUCUGCGAGGGCAGAAAGCGAAGGCUGUAAUUCAUCCCGCACAGUUUAGAUGCUCUGUGCCUUCAGGCUGCCCCCGGGAGCUCCCAGCCACGGAGAAACCCAGCGAGAUGCAUUGGAGGAUCAUCAGGAUCAUCGCUAAUUACCCCCCGUUCUGAUAGGGAUAAUUAAGGGCACACGAGGCGAG